rnacentral:rRNA from 1 species
UUAAGCAUAUCAAUAAGCGGAGGAAAAGAAACCAACUGGGAUUGCCCUAGUAACGGCGAGUGAAGCGGCAAUAGCUCAAAUUUGAAAUCUGGCUCCUUUUAGGGGUCCGAGUUGUAAUUUGCAGAGGGUGCUUUGGUGUUGGUGGCGGUCUAAGUUCCUUGGAACAGGACAUCGCAGAGGGUGAGAAUCCCGUUUGUGGUCGCCUACCUUCGCCGUGUAAAGCCCCUUCGACGAGUCGAGUUGUUUGGGAAUGCAGCUCUAAAUGGGAGGUAAAUUUCUUCUAAAGCUAAAUACUGGCCAGAGACCGAUAGCGCACAAGUAGAGUGAUCGAAAGAUGAAAAGCACUUUGGAAAGAGAGUCAAACAGCACGUGAAAUUGUUGAAAGGGAAGCGCUUGCAGCCAGACUUGCCCGUAGUUGCUCACCUAGGCUUUUGCCUGGGGCAUUCUUCUGCGGGCAGGCCAGCAUCAGUUUGGGCGGUCGGAUAAAGGCCUCUGUCACGUACCUUCCUUCGGGAAGGACUUAUAGGGGAGGCGAAAUGCGACCAGCCUGGACUGAGGUCCGCGCUUCGGCUAGGAUGCUGGCGUAAUGGCUGUAAGCGGCCCGUCUUGAAACACGGACCAAGGAGUCUAACAUCUAUGCGAGUGUUUGGGUGUCAAGCCCGAGCGCGUAAUGAAAGUGAACGGAGGUGGGAACCCUUUGGGUGCACCAUCGACCGAUCCUGAUGUCUUCGGAUGGAUUUGAGUAAGAGCAUAGCUGUUGGGACCCGAAAGAUGGUGAACUAUGCUUGAAUAGGGUGAAGCCAGAGGAAACUCUGGUGGAGGCUCGCAGCGGUUCUGACGUGCAAAUCGAUCGUCAAAUUUGGGCAUAG